AGAGUUUGAUCCUGGCUCAGGAUGAACGCUAGCGGGAGGCCUAAUACAUGCAAGUCGAACGGUAACAGGGUAGCAAUACCGCUGACGAGUGGCGCACGGGUGAGUAACACGUACACAACCUGCCUUAUACUGGGGCAUAGCCUUGGGAAACUAAGAUUAAUUCCCCAUAACAUUAUGAAGUGGCAUCACUUUAUAAUUAAAAUUCCGAUGGUAUAAGAUGGGUGUGCGUCUGAUUAGCUAGUUGGCGAGGUAAAGGCUCACCAAGGCAACGAUCAGUAACUGGUCUGAGAGGAUGAUCAGUCACACGGGCACUGAGACACGGGCCCGACUCCUACGGGAGGCAGCAGUAGGGAAUAUUGGACAAUGGGCGCAAGCCUGAUCCAGCCAUCCCGCGUGAAGGAUUAAGGCCCUCUGGGUUGUAAACUUCUUUUCUCUGGGAAUAAAAAGUGGGAUUCAUCCUGCCUUGAAGGUACCAGAGGAAUAAGCACCGGCUAACUCCGUGCCAGCAGCCGCGGUAAUACGGAGGGUGCAAGCGUUAUCCGGAUUCACUGGGUUUAAAGGGAGCGUAGGUGGCUUUGUAAGUCAGUGGUGAAAUCUUAGAGCUCAACUCUAAAACUGCCAUUGAUACUGCUUAGCUUGAAUCACGUCGAGGUGGAUGGAAUAUUACAUAGCGGUGAAAUGCUUAGAUAUGUAAUAGAACACCGAUUGCGAAGGCAGUUCACUAGGCGUGUAUUGACACUGAGGCUCGAAAGCGUGGGGAUCAAACAGGAUUAGAUACCCUAGUAGUCC
rnacentral:rRNA from 1 species